rnacentral:rRNA from 1 species
CUACGUAGGGGGCGAGCGUUGUCCGGAAUGAUUGGGCGUAAAGGGCGCGUAGGCGGCCCGGUAAGUCUGGAGUGAAAGUCCUGUUUUUAAGAUGAGAAUUGCUUUGGAUACUGUCGGGCUUGAGUGAAGGAGAGGUAAGUGGAAUUCCCAGUGUAGCGGUGAAAUGCGUAGAGAUUGGGAGGAACACCAGCGGCGAAGGCGACUUACUGGACUGUAACUGACGCUAAGGCGCGAAAGUGUGGGGAGCAAACAGGAUUAGAUACCCUGGUAGUCCACACUGUAAACGAUGAAUGCUAGGUGUAGGGGGUAUCGACCCCUUCUGUGCCGCAGUCAACACAAUAAGCAUUCCGCCUGGGGAGUACGGCCGCAAGGUUGAAACUCAAAUGAAUUGACGGGG